rnacentral:sRNA from 1 species
UGAUGGCCUUGGUUGCUAACGUUAAGGGC